CCUUUAUAAACGAGUAAGGUGGCUUUGGCGGUGGGCGAUUCAACCUCGCCGCUGCUGCUCCGCCGCCCCGGACGGCAACUUCCUCCUCGGCCAGAGCCGUUUCCUCCAAAUGCGCCAAUUGUAGAUCCAGGUGUUUUUCGAAUUUUGCAUAUGCAACUUCUGAACUGGAAGUGUUGAAGUUGUUGUUUCUGGAUUUGUUAAAGUAUUGUUGAUUGAUUGAAAACCUACUGCUGAUUUGGCUUGAAUCUGGACAAUUAGAUGCUGUUGGAGAUGUUGAUUAGUGUUCAAGGUUGCACAAUUCUGGCGCAAGUUGCUUUAAUAUCUUAAAGUAACUGUGUCUGUUUUUGAUAAUUUGAAUUCAAGCGUUGUAAAUUAGUUUGAAUCUGAUCCCAAAUUGAGUCCGGUGAAUCACCAUAGAAAUUUGGCAAGGUGUUGAAAGCACCAUUUGAUACGAAUUUGUAUCAAGAAUAGAGAAAAUUAGAGAUAAUUAGAGAGAAUAUAAGAAAAUUUCUAGUAUUAGGGUCAAAGAGAGAAAGUAGAAUUUCUAUUACGUCAUGUAUAUCCCUAUAUUAUUACAUCAUUCUCUUAUUUAUAGUAUAAUCCU